rnacentral:tRNA from 1 species
GGGCGCGUCGUCUAGCAAGGCCAGAACGAUUCUAUCGUUCUCCCUGGAAUGGAUAGGGCACCAGGUUGCGGACCUGGGCUUCGCCGGUUCGAAUCCGGCCGUGCCCGCCA